rnacentral:tRNA from 1 species
GGUCCCAUAGCUCAGCUGGAUAGAGCACCGGUUUUCUAAACCGGCGGUCCUUGGUUCGAAUCCAAGUGGGGCUA